rnacentral:lncRNA from 1 species
GUCAGCUGAAAUUCGUAGCGGUUAUCGGUAAAAAUAAUCUAAACUAUCAAUCACGUUCACUCGAGAUAUAGUUUUUUCACAUUCCAUUCAUAAAUCGCAAAAAGAAAAACCACUACUGACCUACCUUUUAAGUGAUCGCACUGUAAUAAUCCUGACCUUCACUUUUUCAUAGACGAUUUUGAAUGGUGGAAUCAGCCAUUGUUUUUA